GGGCCCGCACAAGCGGUGGAGUAUGUGGUUUAAUUCGAUGCAACGCGAAGAACCUUACCAGGGUUUGACAUCCUGCGAAUCUCUUGGAAACAGGAGAGUGCCUUCGGGAACGCAGUGACAGGUGGUGCAUGGCUGUCGUCAGCUCGUGUCGUGAGAUGUUGGGUUAAGUCCCGCAACGAGCGCAACCCACGUCUUUAGUUGCCAGCAUUUAGUUGGGCACUCUAGAGAGACCGCCGGUGAUAAACCGGAGGAAGGUGUGGAUGACGUCAAGUCAUCAUGCCCCUUACAUCCUGGGCUACACACGUACUACAAUGCUACGGACAAAGGGCAGCAAACUCGCGAGAGCUAGCAAAUCCCAUAAACCGUGGCUCAGUUCAGAUCGUAGGCUGCAACUCGCCUACGUGAAGGAGGAAUCGCUAGUAAUCGCAGGUC
rnacentral:rRNA from 1 species